ACCCAGCUGACGAGUCCCAAAUAGAACGAAACGCGCAUCAUGGAU
rfam:Schistosoma mattheei strain Denwood, Zambia genome assembly, scaffold: SMTD_scaffold0010883